rnacentral:lncRNA from 1 species
CCCAAUCUGACUAUUAUCCUACUCAGAAUUAAAAUUAAUUAUUUAGAUCUAAUCUAAAUAAUUAAAAUUUUGAUUUUAAAGUUACAUGCAUAAUAUACAUAUCAUAAGAAAUGCGACUCUGAUACCAUUUGAAGAAAAAAAUCGAUAGUUCAAAGCAUGCAUUUUCAAAAUUUUUAACGAAAGACUAUAAAUUAAAUAAUUUAAUCUAUUUUGCAUGCCCUAGAUCUGAUCUAG